AUCCAGCUGACAAGCUCCAAAUAGGACGAAACGCGUGUCCUGGAU
rfam:Schistosoma curassoni strain Dakar, Senegal genome assembly, scaffold: SCTD_scaffold0002732